rnacentral:rRNA from 1 species
GACGUAGGGCGCGAGCGUUGUCCGGGAUUUAUUGGGCGUAAAGAGCUCGUAGGCGGCUUGUCGCGUCGACUGUGAAACCCGCGGCUCAACCGCGGGCCUGCAGCCGAUACGGGCAGGCUGGAGUUCGGUAGGGGAGACUGGAAUUCCUGGUGUAGCGGUGAAAUGCGCAGAUAUCAGGAGGAACACCGAUGGCGAAGGCAG